AAGAGAGGAGGAGGGAACGAGGAGAGGAAGAAGCCUUCGUCUCUGCUCGCUCAUUUACUCUGAAUCUGCAGAAUCAGGGAAAACACUGCGAGCUGCUCCAGAGGUGUUACCACGGCAACAGCCAAAUAUUCGGAGCGAGCGGGACCGACUAAUGGCUUCAGAGGCCGACAGGCUCCAGGCAUCAGCUCCAGUAUAUCACCGGGCCUCAAAACCUGCCGUUUAACAAGCGUGACGGUGUUUCCACACCGAGUCUGAAUCCGUGCGAGACACCAACACGAAACGCAGCAGAGUUUGUGAUGGAAAAAACCAAAACAACGCGUACAUUUACUGACGCUACGAGAUGGAAGCCACGGCGUGAGUUUGGGAUUGUGUCGGAACCGUCUCAGAGGAUCUCCGGGUGGAUUUCUCCACUUGAGGAUUUGGAAAGCAGCUGUUUAAAAUCUUUCUGAUGUUUCUGAAACGUGAUUCUUGUUUUGUCUGUAACUUCAUGUGUCGGUGCCACGACAUAAAAAAAAAAAUAAAUCCCUGGGUCGUCUGGGUGCA